AACCAGAAGGCGCAAUGAAAGUGAAGGCACGGCCGCCGUGCCGAGGUGAGAGCUGCCGCACGGCAGCGCAUCAUCGACCGAUCCCAUCCGCUCCCCCGUGGUGCGGCGGGAUUCGAGUAAGAGUGCAUCUGUUGCGACCCGAAAGAUGGUGAACUAUGCCUGAAUAGGGUGAAGCCAGAGGAAACUCUGGUGGAGGCCCGUAGCGAUUCUGACGUGCAAAUCGAUCGUCAAAUUUGGGUAUAGGGGCGAAAGACUAAUCGAACCAUCUAGUAGCUGGUUCCCUCCGAAGUUUCCCUCAGGAUAGCUGUAGCCCGAAGCAGUUUUAUCAGGUAAAGCGAAUGAUUAGAGGUAUCGGGGAAGAAACUUCCUCGACCUAUUCUCAAACUUUAAAUAGGUAAGAAGUCCGACUUGCUCAAUCUGAAGCCGGACGCAGAAUGCUGGGUUACUAGUGGGCCAUUUUUGGUAAGCAGAACUGGCGAUGCGGGAUGAACCGAACGCCGAGUUAAGGUGCCAAAGUCGACGCUCAUCAGAUCCCACAAA
rnacentral:rRNA from 1 species